GUUACAACCAAGCUCCACUUGAUUCGGCAUCCGCCAACGGAAAUUGAUCGAAAGUUUCGCCGUUUGAUCGGCGUCGUUCGAUGUUUCGUUGAACUUUAUGAUGAAUUACGAGCGUCGUUGAACGGACGUAGCAGCGGAAUUGCGGCUGAUAACUCGAUUAUACAACUAUAGCGUAAACAACUCGUCGAAAGCAUGGAUCGAUUCUACUUUGUCUAUUGAUCAGUUUGGAUAAAAUGUGGAAAAAAGGAAUAUUCUUAUCGGAAAUGAAGAGCGCAAUUCAAUGUUUUCCAACAACAAUUCCACAGUUCAUGUCAUCAAUGAUAGCGUGCAAGAUAAACACAGGCCUACUUCAGAUAGGAUCGCGUCGGUCAACACCGUACAGGAUUUAUUCGCAUGCCAGAUAUGUAUUUACAUUCAUACAAUUUUUUUCGAAAUACAGUGUUUGCCGUAGACCAGAAUGCCAACACAAAAAAUAUACAAAAUCGAAAUUUAUUUUAUUCUUACUGAAUAACAAUCAGUUCCAUCCAUUUCAUUAAGAGAACCCGGGACUUUGUCCUUUCCAGUUUUAUUUUUGUGCAGCACAAUCGAUAUUAUAUAUCAAACAACUGAGACAGUUUUAUUGCAACGUUAUUACAAAAGUAAAUAACGAAAAAUAAAGUCGCUCUACCUUCUUUUACCAAUAAUACUACGAUUAAUUAUCAUUCUAUGGAAAAUGUACAAAUAUCAAGCUAUUUUUAAGAGUUACCGUAUAAUAUAUAAAAAAGAAUGAAAUUAUUAAACCCCCCAUUCUACCUACUAUUAUUUUAUAAUAAAGUUGUAUCCCGCCAAAGGUAAGCAGAUAUUCUAUUUUUAAGUACUGUUGUAUACAUUAUAUAUACUCUCACGCAAAAACAGCGUUUGUGCGAAAAAAAUUCGCUAUUGCUCUCACGAUCGCUUUCCCCUCCUCCCUCAUAACGAUAACGUUAAUAAUAUAAUCCGAUAAUUUAAUCGGUCGGCGUGUGCUCGAUUGAUUU
rnacentral:misc_RNA from 1 species